rnacentral:rRNA from 1 species
CAGGAUGAACGCUAGCGGGAGGCUUAACACAUGCAAGUCGAGGGGCAGCACGAGGUAGCAAUACUUUGGUGGCGACCGGCGCACGGGUGAGUAACGCGUAUGCAACCUUCCUUUUACAGGAGGAUAGCUUCCGGAAACGGAAAUUAAUACUCCAUACAAUUACGAAGUGGCAUCACUUUCAGAUUAAAGCUACGGCGGUAAAAGAUGGGCAUGCGUAACAUUAGCUAGUUGGUGAGGUAAAGGCUCACCAAGGCGACGAUGUUUAGGGGUCCUGAGAGGGUUAUCCCCCACACUGGUACUGAGACACGGACCAGACUCCUACGGGAGGCAGCAGUGAGGAAUAUUGGUCAAUGGGCGCAAGCCUGAACCAGCCAUCCCGCGUGCAGGAAGACGGCCCUAUGGGUUGUAAACUGCUUUUCUGAGGGAAGAAUAACGCUGAUUCGUUCAGUGGACGACGGUACCUCAGGAAUAAGCAUCGGCUAACUCCGUGCCAGCAGCCGCGGUAAUACGGAGGAUGCAAGCGUUAUCCGGAUUCAUUGGGUUUAAAGGGUGCGUAGGCGGACUGGUAAGUCAGUGGUGAAAUCCUGCAGCUUAACUGUGGAAUUGCCAUUGAAACUGUCAGUCUUGAGUCAGGUUGAGGUAGGCGGAAUGUGUAAUGUAGCGGUGAAAUGCAUAGAUAUUACACAGAACACCGAUUGCGUAGGCAGCUUACUGGACCUGCACUGACGCUGAGGCACGAAAGCGUGGGGAUCAAACAGGAUUAGAUACCCUGGUAGUCCACGCCGUAAACUAUGAUUACUCGUUGUUGGCAAUACAUCGUCAGCGACCAAGCGAAAGCGAUAAGUAAUCCACCUGGGGAGUACGCUCCGCAGAGUGAAACUCAAAGGAAUUGACGGGGGCCCGGACAAGCGGUGGAACAUGUGGGUUAUUCGAUGAUACGCGAGGAACCUUACCUGGGCUUAAAUGUAGA